AGUCAUACCAUUGCUUUCAUCUUCUGAAUCUCACCGGUAUCAACUUGCUUCCUCGCAGGACCCAACUCAACUCCUCUCACACGCGUUGCAAAGUUUAGUGAACUUAAAGUCUCACUCACAUCGUGCUCAGAAGGACUGAUUUGCACAAACAUCAGCGUCUUGGAGUCACCUCCUGCAUCAUUUGCACAUUCACACAAGUUUUUAAGCUCAGUGUAACCACAGAUUGAUCCUUAUGAAAAGCCAAUGCAUAAAUCACAUCCCCAAGAGCUGAUAGCGAUCUAUUGAUGUUCUGUGCUUCCUUCAGACGCUCACCUUGCACGUCAGUCUUUGCCAACCUCUCACUUCCUGCUAAAUCAACAAGCCAAAGCGUGCUUUUUGUGCAGUCACCAUUCAUCAGGUUCUUCGCUUUCACCAUUAUAGAGAGCAUGCUGCGAAGAAAACUUAAUAUAUCAAACAACCCUCAUAGUGAAAUAUAAGAUGAGGGAAAGCCAAACAUUCAAAAAACAUAGUGAGAGGGGGAUAAAUCCAAAUAUACCAGUGCGAGCGGCUACUAUGUUCAUUCACAUUGUUGGAUCCAACAGCUCUUGCAUUGCUCCCAGCUUGAAGCACAUUCCACACUUCAUUUAUAUUUUCCACUUUUGCUUCAACUAACCCAGGAACAUGAUGGGAUCCAUCAAAUGAUUGUUUGAUCUCCAACCUGAGUAACCAUAUCAAUAAAUAUUGCGAUCAAGCUCUGUAAAAAGUCUAUGUUUUAGUUGUGUGUUUAAAGUAGAGAUUUUUACUUCUUUGAAGCUGGUGAUGUUGCCAAUAAGUCUCUUAUCUGUUCGUUGUAGACCUCAAGGACACUAACAGAAAUAUUAUAUGAAAUUGUCUCUCGCCUUU